rnacentral:rRNA from 1 species
GACGAACGCUGGCGGCGUGCUUAACACAUGCAAGUCGAACGGAAAGGCCCUGCUUUUGUGGGGUGCUCGAGUGGCGAACGGGUGAGUAACACGUGAGUAACCUGCCCUUGACUUUGGGAUAACUUCAGGAAACUGGGGCUAAUACCGGAUAGGAGCUCCUGCUGCAUGGUGGGGGUGGGAAAGUUUCGGCGGCUGGGGAUGGACGCGCGGCUUAUCAGCUUGUUGGUGGGGUAGUGGCUUACCAAGGCUUUGACGGGUAGCCGGCCUGAGAGGGUGACCGGCUCCAUUGGCCUACGGAAGGCGCCCGUGCGCCUUCGGGGGCAAGGGGCGGGAAAUUUUGCCAAACGGGCGGCAUCCGUGUAGAGGACCGCCGGGUGGGGAAGCCCGGCUUUUGGGUUGGAAACCCUUUUGGCUUGUACCGAGCUGUUCUGACGGUUAAUGGAGAAAAAGCCCCGGCUAACUUCGGG